rnacentral:rRNA from 1 species
UGGGGAAUAUUGGACAAUGGGCGAAAGCCUGAUCCAGCGACGCCGCGUGGGUGAAGAAGGCCUGCGGGUUGUAAAGCCCUUUCGGUGGGGAAGAAAAGCCUCGAGUUAAUACCUCGGGGUCUUGACGUAACCCAUAGAAGAAGCACCGGCUAACUCUGUGCCAGCAGCCGCGGUAAUACAGAGGGUGCGAGCGUUAAUCGGAAUUACUGGGCGUAAAGCGCGCGUAGGCGGCUUUGCAAGUCGGGUGUGAAAUCCCCAGGCUUAACCUGGGAACUGCAUUCGAGACUGCAUUGCUAGAGUAUGGGAGAGGGAAGUGGAAUUUCCGGUGUAGCGGUGAAAUGCGUAGAUAUCGGAAGGAACAUCAGUGGCGAAAGCGACUUCCUGGACCAAUACUGACGCUCAUGUGCGAAAGCGUGGGGAGCAAACAGGAUUAGAUACCCUGGUAGUCCACGCCAUAAACGAUGAGAACUGGAUGUCGGGAGGGUCUGCCUCUCGGU